UACGGAGGGUGCGAGCGUUGUCCGGAAUCACUGGGCGUAAAGGGCGCGUAGGCGGUCUUUUAAGCGGGCGGUGAAAGCCCGGGGCUCAACCCCGGGUCGGCCGUGCGAACUGGAGGACUCGAGCCCACUAGAGGCAGGCGGAAUUCCGGGUGUAGCGGUGGAAUGCGUAGAGAUCCGGAAGAACACCGGUGGCGAAGGCGGCCUGCUGGGGUGGAGCUGACGCUGAGGCGCGACAGCGUGGGGAGCAAACAGGAUUAGAAACCCCAGUAGUCC
rnacentral:rRNA from 1 species